GAUGAACGCUGGCGGCGUGCCUAAUACAUGCAAGUCGAGCGAACGGACGAGAAGCUUGCUUCUCUGAUGUUAGCGGCGGACGGGUGAGUAACACGUGGAUAACCUACCUAUAAGACUGGGAUAACUUCGGGAAACCGUAGCUAAUACCGGAUAAUAUUUUGAACCGCAUGGUUCAAAAGUGAAAGACGGUCUUGCUGUCACUUAUAGAUGGAUCCGCGCUGCAUUAGCUAGUUGGUAAGGUAACGGCUUACCAAGGCAACGAUGCAUAGCCGACCUGAGAGGGUGAUCGGCCACACUGGAACUGAGACACGGUCCAGACUCCUACGGGAGGCAGCAGUAGGGAAUCUUCCGCAAUGGGCGAAAGCCUGACGGAGCAACGCCGCGUGAGUGAUGAAGGUCUUCGGAUCGUAAAACUCUGUUAUUAGGGAAGAACAUAUGUGUAAGUAACUGUGCACAUCUUGACGGUACCUAAUCAGAAAGCCACGGCUAACUACGUGCCAGCAGCCGCGGUAAUACGUAGGUGGCAAGCGUUAUCCGGAAUUAUUAGGCGUAAAGCGCGCGUAGGCGGUUUUUUAAGUCUGAUGUGAAAGCCCACGGCUCAACCGUGGAGGGUCAUUGGAAACUGGAAAACUUGAGUGCAGAAGAGGAAAGUGGAAUUCCAUGUGUAGCGGUGAAAUGCGCAGAGAUAUGGAGGAACACCAGUGGCGAAGGCGACUUUCUGGUCUGUAACUGACGCUGAUGUGCGAAAGCGUGGGGAUCAGACAGGAUUAGAUACCCUGGUAGUCCACGCCGUAAACGAUGAGUGCUAAGUGUUAGGGGGUUUCCGCCCCUUAGUGCUGCAGCUAACGCAUUAAGCACUCCGCCUGGGGAGUACGACCGCAAGGUUGAAACUCAAAGGAAUUGACGGGGCCCCGCACAAGCGGUGGAGCAUGUGGUUUAAUUCGAAGCAACGCGAAGAACCUUACCAAAUCUUGACAUCCUUUGACAACUCUAGAGAUAGAGCCUUCCCCUUCGGGGGGCAAAGUGACAGGUGGUGCAUGGUUGUCGUCAGCUCGUGUCGUGAGAUGUUGGGUUAAGUCCCGCAACGAGCGCAACCCUUAAGCUUAGUUGCCAUCAUUAAGUUGGGCACUCUAAGUUGACUGCCGGUGACAAACCGGAGGAAGGUGGGGAUGACGUCAAAUCAUCAUGCCCCUUAUGAUUUGGGCUACACACGUGCUACAAUGGACAAUACAAAGGGCAGCGAAACCGCGAGGUCAAGCAAAUCCCAUAAAGUUGUUCUCAGUUCGGAUUGUAGUCUGCAACUCGACUACAUGAAGCUGGAAUCGCUAGUAAUCGUAGAUCAGCAUGCUACGGUGAAUACGUUCCCGGGUCU
rnacentral:rRNA from 1 species